GACGAACGCUGGCGGCAUGCCUAACACAUGCAAGUCGAGCGAGCAGAUCCCUUCGGGGUGAAGCUAGCGGCGGACGGGUGAGUAACACGCGGGCAACCUGCCUCAUAGAGGGGAAUAGCCUUCCGAAAGGAAGAUUAAUACCGCAUAAGAUUACAGCUUCGCAUGAAGCAGUAAUUAAAGGAGCAAUCCGCUAUGAGAUGGGCCCGCGGCGCAUUAGCUAGUUGGUGAGGUAACGGCUCACCAAGGCGACGAUGCGUAGCCGACCUGAGAGGGUGAUCGGCCACAUUGGGACUGAGACACGGCCCAGACUCCUACGGGAGGCAGCAGUGGGGAAUAUUGCACAAUGGGGGAAACCCUGAUGCAGCAAUGCCGCGUGAGUGAUGACGGCCUUCGGGUUGUAAAGCUCUGUCUUCGGGGACGAUAAUGACGGUACCCGAGGAGGAAGCCACGGCUAACUACGUGCCAGCCGCCGCGGUAA
rnacentral:rRNA from 1 species